rnacentral:tRNA from 1 species
AGAAAGUGACAGAGUGGUGAUGUGGUUGACUUGAAAUCAACAUAUGGGGGUUCAAUUCCUUCCUUCCUUG